UAAGGAAUAUUGGACAAUGGGCGCAAGCCUGAUCCAGCCAUGCCGCGUGCAGGAUGAAGGAGCUAUGCUUUGUAAACUGCUUUUGUUUGGGAAUAAACCCUUCUACGUGUAGAGGGCUGAAUGUACCAAAAGAAUAAGGGACGGCUAACUUCGUGCCAGCAGCCGCGGUAAUACGAAGGUCCCAAGCGUUAUCCGGAUUUAUUGGGUUUAAAGGGUGCGUAGGCGGGUUAUUAAGUCAGUGGUGAAAGCCUACAGCUUAACUGUAGAACUGCCAUUGAUACUGAUGAUCUUGAGUAUGAUUGAGGUAGGCGGAAUGUGUCAUGUAGCGGUGAAAUGCUUAGAUAUGACACAGAACACCGAUUGCGAAGGCAGCUUACUAAGUCAUAACUGACGCUGAUGCACGAAAGCGUGGGGAGCAAACAG
rnacentral:rRNA from 1 species